CCUACGGGAGGCAGCAGUAAGGAAUAUUGGUCAAUGGACGCAAGUCUGAACCAGCCAUGCCGCGUGAAGGAUUAAGGCCCUCUGGGUUGUAAACUUCUUUUAUAGGGGACGAAAAAAGGGCAUUCUUGCUCACUUGACGGUACCCUAGGAAUAAGCACCGGCUAACUCCGUGCCAGCAGCCGCGGUAAUACGGAGGGUGCAAGCGUUAUCCGGAUUUACUGGGUUUAAAGGGUGCGUAGGUGGGUUGGUAAGUCAGUGGUGAAAUCUUCGAGCUUAACUCGGAAACUGCCAUUGAUACUAUCAAUCUUGAAUCAUCUAGAGGUAAGCGGAAUAUGUCAUGUAGCGGUGAAAUGCUUAGAUAUGACAUAGAACACCAAUUGCGAAGGCAGCUUACUAUGGAUGUAUUGACACUGAGGCACGAAAGCGUGGGGAUCAAACAGGAUUAGAUACCCUGGUAGUCCACGCCCUAAACGAUGGAUACUCGACAUUUGUGAUAUACAAUAAGUGUUNUGAGNGAAGACAUAAGUAUCCACCUCGGAGACGACCGCGAGUAGUAACGUACAAUAGAGUUAGUACGGCGUGAGACGUAGACCGACGGACGACGACGAGGGAGGAGG
rnacentral:rRNA from 1 species